GGGAGGAGGUCCAGCAGAGCCCCACCAGGAGCAGCUGGGGCCGCGCUGAAGCCAUCUUUGCAUGGAGCUGGGAGGGGAUGGGGAGCAACCCCCCCCCCCCAAGCACACACACACUAUGCUCACGUCAGCUCCAGCCCAUCACAUCCAGAGCUUGGCCAUGGGGCAGAGGCACAGAGCUGGAGUCCUGUUAGCGGCUGCUCCUUUCUAUUUAAAUGAAAGGAAUAACUGUGAAGCAUGAUAAAAAUCUCUAUCUUUCCCCUCUGGCUUGCAGAUAGGAGCCCCACAACUGUUCCUAUUGGAAAUUCAAUUCCAAUCAGCGCGUUGGCAGGAAAGGAUUAGGGCUGGUGCCAAAACACAUUCAUCCCAGCCAACUCUUCCCAGAGCCUCCCCAGGGCCACCCCAGUGCCCACCAAGGGCCGGUUGCAGGACACCAGCUCCUCCCACCUCCUCAGUUUGUCCUGCGGGGGUAUGGGUCACCCCAACGAGGUGUCACCACACACCUCUCCAUGCUCAGUAUGGGCACAGGGCGCUCGAUGCUGGGAGCCCUGACACAGCAAAACACAUCCCGUGGGGUUUGGUUGCCUUGCUGCAUGUGGGAUGCUGGAGACAGAGCCAGGAGCAGAGGACUUUGAGCCAUCGGAAUUUUUAGGAGAUAAAACUGGAUAAAAAGGAGGAAGGUAGAGGCAUUACCCACAGCAUCUUAUCUGAUCUGGCACUCAAGCCUACUAUUGCCUCCACUUCCCUGUCUCGAGGAGGUUUUUAAACGCGUGCAGCUACAAAUCACCCCUUCCAGUUGAAGUGUCAGAUUAAAUCAAGACAAACGCUCCCCUGUUCCACACCCCCCCUCAGCUGGGCCCAGUUCCCAAACCCCCACCUCUCCCCGCCUGGCACCACCCCAAGCUUUGCCCUGGGAGACCGCUUCAGCCCCAGUGCCGCCAGCAAGGAAGUUUUUGCAACAGGCAGAUUGCCGGCAGGCUGCCCCGGUCCCCCCUUUAAGCUCAUUACCGGAGAGCUGGAGCUCAUCCUGGCACCCAGACGGCCCCGCAUCCCGCAGGGGUGGGCACCUCCUGUCUCCACUUCGGGGCUGAGGCUGAAUCCAAAGACAGAAAACCGCCUCCCCAGGAGAUCUGCAGGGAAGGAACGCUUGUUCUGGAGGCUGAAUGUUUAUCGACAGGGCUGCAGUGCACAGCUGGAAGCUAAGCAUCCAAAACUGGAAGUCUCUGCUCAAGAAUCUCCAUGCAGUCAGCUGAGCAGCACUGAGACUGAAAGCUGCUAGCACAAAAAGCUCAAGACCCCCUAUUGCUCCUCCGUUU
rnacentral:lncRNA from 1 species